UACAGAGGGGGCAAGCGUUGUUCGGAAUUACUGGGCGUAAAGGGCGCGUAGGCGGCCUGUUAAGUCGAACGUGAAAUCCCCAGGCUCAACCUGGGAACUGCGUCCGAUACUGGAUGGCUUGAAUUCGGGAGAGGGAUGCAGAAUUCCAGGUGUAGCGGUGAAAUGCGUAGAUAUCUGGAGGAAUACCGGUGGCGAAGGCGGCAUCCUGGACCGACAUUGACGCUGAUGAGCGAAAGCUAGGGGAGCAAACGGGG
rnacentral:rRNA from 1 species